rnacentral:rRNA from 1 species
AACACGUGGGGAACCUGCCCCAUAGUCUGGGAUACCACUUGGAAACAGGUGCUAAUACCGGAUAAGAAAGCGGAUCGCAUGAUCAGCUUUUAAAAGGCGGCGUAAGCUGUCGCUAUGGGAUGGCCCCGCGGUGCAUUAGCUAGUUGGUAAGGUAAAGGCUUACCAAGGCGAUGAUGCAUAGCCGAGUUGAGAGACUGAUCGGCCACAUUGGGACUGAGACACGGCCCAAACUCUACGGGAGGCAGCAGC